rnacentral:lncRNA from 1 species
UUCAAGCUGUCCAAAAAGAAUGCAUAUGUUUCUUUAAACUAUUCUCAAAUGUUUUUUUGUUUCAAUAUUUUCAAAUUACAUAACAAGUAAUACUAAAAAAUGCACAGGCACCAUAGCAAAACGCCUUACCAAAAAUUUGAGGCCUAAGGCGGCAGCCUACCCCUUAGAUCGGGCUGUAUGUGAAUUCUAAUUUAUUUAUUUUUGUAGUAUAAAAAUUAUUUUGUUUAUUAGUAGC